UACGGAGGGUGCAAGCGUUGUCCGGAUUUAUUGGGUUUAAAGGGUGCGCAGGCGGGAGAAUCAGUCCGUGGUGAAAGACGAUCGCUUAACGAUUGCAGUGCCAUGGAUACUGUUCUUCUUGAAUCUCGUUGAGGCGGGUGGAAUUGACCGUGUAGCGGUGAAAUGCAUAGAUAUGGUCAAGAACUCCAAUUGCGUAGGCAGCCCGCUGGGCGAGGAUUGACGCUCAGGCACGAGAGUGCGGGGAUCAAACAGG
rnacentral:rRNA from 1 species